CUCAAUUUCGCUGUGAACUUAAAACUGCGCCCCCAAACAAGUUAAUUACUUAAAAAAAAAAAAGAAUGAAAAAGGAACUGAGAAUUCUCUCCAACAAAAGAUUAAGUGACAAGGAAUAUCAGGCUGAACUCUCUUCCGGAAAUGAAAGAAAUCAC
ensembl:misc_RNA